UGUCAGGGGCGGACCCGCGAGCUUUCCUGCGGAGCUCCCGGCACCUCGAGCCUGAUCACUGAACUGCACGCUCCAGGCGAAGGCGCAAAUGAAGGGAGAGGAGCCGACAGCCGGAGACCCUGGGAGGCUCAGCUUUCUACUGAGUUACAUCUUCGGAGGUAGCCAAUGAUGGCCCAGGUACUUGGAUUCCUGCCACACACAUGGGAGAACCAGAUGGAAUUCCUGCUUCCUGGCUUUGGUUUGGCCCAGACCUGGCUGUUGUGGGCAUUUUGUGGAGUGAAUUAAUGGGCAGAAGAUUUUCUCUCUCUCUCUCUCUCUCUCUCUCUCUCUCUCUCUGUCUCUGUCUCUCUCUGUUUUCUUUCCCCUCUCCCUUUUACCUUCUUUCUCUCCUGUUCUCUCCCAACCUGAGUGUGUGUGUGUGUGUGUUUGUGACUCUGACUUUCAAAUAAAUGAAUAUUUGUAAGAAGAAGAGGAGACGCCACGAGUAUUCAGGCAGGGCAAGAGCAGCCUCCUGAGGACGUGGAGAAGGCAAACACCUGCAAGGCAAGGAGAGAGGAAGCCUCAGGAGAAACUUCGCCUUCCAGUACCUUGAUCUUGGCCUUCAGCUGCCAAAACUCUGUGAAAAUACAUUUCUGUUUUUAAGCCACCCAGGCUGGGGUAUUUUGUAAUGAUAGCCCAACCAGACUAAUACAAAACUGCUGAUAAUAGUGGUAUUUGUAAAAUUAGGGACUUGCAGAUCUAAGAGAACAUUAAAGCUCAUCUGGCCCAAUAGUUCUUGGCUCGGUGUUUAAGGACCAUGGAUAAUCGGGCCACUUCCUUGCACACUUCCAAAGAGGUGUCUUCUACAACAAAGUCUGUGUGAAUGUGCCCCUUGCAGCCGUACUGUGCGUAUUCCAGCAGUUGGAUACAGCCAUCCUGAAAAUGGUUUGCUAAACUCUUCUUCAAUUUAGUCUGGGCACAUAUUUUUUCUUCUGAAAAAGUAAGCCCAAAAUUUCUUCAGAUAUUAAAGGAACUUUAUGACACACAAAAACUUCAGAAACAUUUAUGACUUUACAUCUCUCGUCUUACAGAUGAGGAAAAUGAAUCCUAGGAAGGGACGGUGCCCAAGGAUGUAUUGAAAACACAAGUAAAAAGAGGAUCCAAAUUUCCUUCCUCCUAGCGAGAGGUUAAAACAUUUUCAUACCUGGAGUAGGGCAGAAAGAUGCCUUCCACCUUUCCAAAAUGUACCUGUGUGUACAUAACCCUCAAAUUUUAGCACAUUCAUUCAGAUAAUAGAGUUGGUAAUUUUUUAAGCAUACUCACAUAAUAUAUAGUAAAUAAAUGUCAUAUUGCAUGAAUGAGAACUUGAUAAUUUAUAUACAUGUAGUUAACAAGAGAAUUCCAUUAAAGAAUGUUAUUUGGACUGUUA